UAUAGUUCAAGUGGUAGAGUACAUGCUUAGCAUGCAUGGGUUUCUGGGUUCAAUCCCCAGUA
rnacentral:tRNA from 1 species